rnacentral:misc_RNA from 1 species
AACGCACGAGACCUGCGGACCUGCGGAGGGAUCAUUACCGAGUUCUCGCCCCUCGCGGGGUAGACCUCCCACCCACUGUGAUCACUACCGUCGUUGCUUUGGCGGGCCGCUGGGCCCAGCCCACCGCCGGCUCCGGCUGGCGCGUGCCCGCCAGAGGCCCUACAAACGCUGGAUAUCAGUGCCGUCUGAGUACACAUGUUAAUCGUUAAAACUUUUAACAAUGGAUCUCUAGAUCGGAAG